rnacentral:rRNA from 1 species
CUAACAAGGAUUCCCCUAGUAACUGCGAGUGAAGCGGGAAAAGCUCAAAUUUAAAAUCUGGCGGUCUUUGGCCGUCCGAGUUGUAGUCUGGAGAAGUGCUUUCCGCGCUGGACCGUGUAUAAGUCUCUUGGAACAGAGCGUCAUAGAGGGUGAGAAUCCCGUCUUUGACACGGACUACCAGUGCUUUGUGAUGCGCUCUCAAAGAGUCGAGUUGUUUGGGAAUGCAGCUCAAAAUGGGUGGUGAAUUCCAUCUAAAGCUAAAUAUUGGCGAGAGACCGAUAGCGAACAAGUACCGUGAGGGAAAGAUGAAAAGCACUUUGGAAAGAGAGUUAAACAGUACGUGAAAUUGCUGAAAGGGAAACGCUUGAAGUCAGUCGCGUCGUCCGGAACUCAGCCUUGCUUUUUUGCUUGGUGCACUUUCCGGAUUGACGGGUCAGCAUCGAUUUUGACCGUCGGAAAAGGGCUGGAGUAAUGUGGCACCUUAUGGUGUGUUAUAGACUCUGGUCGCAUACGGCGGUUGGGAUCGAGGAACGCAGCGCGCCGUAAGGCAGGGGUUUAUCCCACUUUCGCGCUUAGGAUGCUGGCAUAAUGGCUUUAAACGACCCGUCUUGAAACACGGACCAAGGAGUCUAACAUACCUGCGAGUGUUUGGGUGGAAAACCCGAGCGCGUAAUGAAAGUGAAAGUUGAGACCCCUGUCGUGGGGGGCAUCGACGCCCGGACCUGACGUUCUCUGACGGAUCCGCGGUAGAGCAUGUAUGUUGGGACCCGAAAGAUGGUGAACUAUGCCUGAAUAGGGUGAAGCCAGAGGAAACUCUGGUGGAGGCUCGUAGCGAUUCUGACGUGCAAAUCGAUCGUCAAAUUUGGGUAUAGGGGCGAAAGACUAAUCGAACCAUCU